rnacentral:rRNA from 1 species
UACGUAGGGGGCGAGCGUUGUCCGGAUUUAUUGGGCGUAAAGAGCUCGUAGGCGGUUCGAUAAGUCAGGUGUAAAAACUCCAGGCUCAACUUGGAGAGGCCACCUGAUACUGUCGUGACUAGAGUCCGGUAGAGGAGCACGGAAUUCCUGGUGUAGCGGUGAAAUGCGCAGAUAUCAGGAGGAACACCGGUGGCGAAGGCGGGUCUCUGGGCCGAAACUGACGCUGAGGAGCGAAAGCGUGGGGAGCAAACAGG